rnacentral:rRNA from 2 species
UGGGGAAUAUUGCACAAUGGGCGCAAGCCUGAUGCAGCCAUGCCGCGUGUAUGAAGAAGGCCUUCGGGUUGUAAAGUACUUUCAGCGGGGAGGAAGGGAGUAAAGUUAAUACCUUUGCUCAUUGACGUUACCCGCAGAAGAAGCACCGGCUAACUCCGUGCCAGCAGCCGCGGUAAUACGGAGGGUGCGAGCGUUAAUCGGAAUUACUGGGCGUAAAGCGCACGCAGGCGGUUUGUUAAGUCAGAUGUGAAAUCCCCGGGCUCAACCUGGGAACUGCAUCUGAUACUGGCAAGCUUGAGUCUCGUAGAGGGGGGUAGAAUUCCAGGUGUAGCGGUGAAAUGCGUAGAGAUCUGGAGGAAUACCGGUGGCGAAGGCGGCCCCCUGGACGAAGACUGACGCUCAGGUGCGAAAGCGUGGGGAGCAAACAGG